rnacentral:lncRNA from 1 species
AAACAGACAGUCAGAUAAACUCAAUAUUCAGUUUAUCCUCUUAAUUCUUCAAUUCAGUCCCUGUAAGAUAAAACAGAUGAGAACAGAGUCCAAAAACAGCGUCUCUGUCCUCCAUGUUAGCUGAACAGAUGUCUGUCGACUGUGAUUUUCAUCAUGAAGCACCAUGACAGAGAGAGGACCCUCUAAUUCAACAUUAUUCUCCUCUUUAUUACAGUCAAACAAACUCAGACUGACUUUAUUCAGAGGGCUGGAGACUCAUCCUGAAGCUGUUUGUCAAGGUGACUCUGAAGGAAAGAGUGAGUUAUGGUGUCAGCUGAGGACACACACACACACACACACACAGACACACACACACACCUGUUUUUACUCUGAUUUUUAUAUUUGACCUAAACUCUUUAUGAACUCUUAAUAUUAAAUGUUUAUCUUUUCUCUGUGAGUUAUUAUGGAGUCAGAGUUUUGAAUAAUGAUUAGAGACUGAGAUUGAAGGGGGUUACCUGUAAACUAGUGAAAGCAGCACUUUAGUUUCUUUUUACUUUAACAACCUUUAUCCCACUAAUAAUAACUUUUAUUUUUAUUUGUACUUUUCAAAAACAGAUGUUCACAAAGUGCUUUGACAUGUAGUCGUAGAGCACAUGGAAAAAGACAGAUAAAAACAAAAAGCUCAGUAAAAACAGAAUUAAAGGAACAUUUUCAUUUUUCAUAAUGAACCCAGACAAAACAAGAACCACGCAACAUAAAAUGAGACCAUGAGGACCAAAAACAUCAAAUACUUCAGAAAAAAAGGAAAAUGCAAUAAAAAGGGGAGGGCAAAAGUGGAAACAGGAUAGUAAAUAUAAAAGGCAAUAUCAACAAUGAUAAUAAAAUAAUAACAGGUAAUACUGAGAAUAAUAGUAAUGAUAAAACAGGAAUGAGCGAGAGAUAAAACAAUAAAAGGCCGAAAAGGUUAAUUAAAAAAAGAGUACAAUUUUAACAAAAGAUAAAAAAGACGGUAAAACUGAAAUAAGAUAAAAGAGAUAAAAUAGAAAAGAGACGACAGAUAAAAGAUGAAAGACACUAAGAAUGAAAAUGUCCACUCUGAAUGUUCACUGAUCUAAUUUCAUUCAAAAACCAUCUAAACUAACAUGAGAAAUAAAACUCUUGUCACUUUAAAUAUCUCUUAAGAAUAUAAUACUGUGAGUAGAUGUGUUGUCAGUUUUGUAGUUUUCUGUCAGUUUGUUGGUUCAUAAAGUGAUAUUUGUAAAAUGAAUGACAGUCCUUCACAGUUUAAGGACAGUUUGAGUACUCUGCAGUAUUUAACUCUAUUAUUAUGUUGUGUUGCAGAUAGUUUUCCAGCUCCUAUUAAUCUGUUCAUGAUAAUAAUUCAAUCUGCAAAAUUUAAAAUGAGAAGCUGAAUUUAAACUGGCAGAAAAGUUUAAGAUACUUCAUAAAUAUAACUUUGCACAUGAUUGUAAAGGUUUCUCCAAACUUGUUUUUUAACUUUACUGUCAUGUUUUUAAAGUUGGUGAUGAGGAGUAAGACUGGAGCCCAAAAAUAGACCUGGACUAUUUCACAGUAAGUACGACCCUCUGAAGGGAAACAGCUGAUUUCUUUCUGAACAUGUUAAUGAGGAUUGUUAUACUGAUUAAACUUUCAUUUCCGUUACUUCUGGACAGUUUUUCACAGCCCGUCACUCAGUGGGACCUUUUAAAAGUUUGGUUGUAUCAUGAGACUCAUGAAUAAAGAGUUUUUGUCAGGAGUGAAAUGUGAGAGCAGAUCAGAUCACACAUGAGGAGAAGUGCGGCGCACACAUGACUGUCAGCCGCCUAUGAACCGCCGCCCAUAUGAAAACAGUCAGCUCCUGGUCAGAGCUCAUUCAUGUGACUCUCUACAACGAGCUGAGUGGGAUCAUUUUCAGUUCACAAUGACCAAAGACCAGCAGAAAGUAAUGUGGUGUUUAUGUUGUGUAGUUGUUUAUUUUACAUUUAUCAUGUUUGAGAGGAAAUCCUUAAUUAUCAACCUCACAGUGAUGGUUUUACUGUAAAUGUAGAGUUAAGUGGUUUUACUCAUCAGCUGAUUGGAUUUGAGAAAAUCAAAGUAUUUCAAUAAAAAGUUUAGGUCAAGCCGCAACAACAUUUUAUUAUUCAAGUUUCUCUGUUACUUUUCAUUAAAUGGUCUAAAUAUUCUAAACAGUACGACCUUUAUAGGUUUAUUAUUAACUUCAUGACUGCUGGUUUGGACUCUGUAAUUUGGUGUGUAGUGGGUACAAGAACUGCAUUAUUUCAUGUUUUUAAAAGAACAAUGUUUCAUCCAGUUUAAUAAUAAAAAAAGUUGUGCCGCAAACAUGUUAAUGUACACUUUAGUUUAAACUGCAGUAAUAGGAGUAAAUCAUGUCUAAAAGCAUCAACAGCGCCCUCUGCUGACCUGUCAGGAUACUCUGCAGGAUGUGAUUCUCUCUGAGAGCUCUGAUAAAACCCUCUAAACUAUGACAAUUUUAAAAUACUACACUAUGGCAUUUUUAUGAUUCUUAAGAUAUAUAUGUUUUUAACAUACUAUACUAUGACAUUUUUAUCAUACAAUAAUAUGACUUUUUUCAUACAAAAAAGAUUUUUUUUCACACUAAAUUUAUUUUUUUUACGUACUAUGCUAAGACAUUUUUAACCUUUUCCUCAUAGGUUGUGACUUUUUUUUUUCACACUAAAAUUUUAAAUUUUAAACUAACUAUACUGUGGCAUUUUAAUCUUUUUAAAAAUAUAAUAAUUUUAACAUACUAUACUAUAACACUUGUAUCACUAUAUAUACUGUGACCAUUUUUUAAAUGCUAAAAAAGAUAUUUUUUUCAUGCUAAAUUUUGAAUUUUUUAUACAUACUAUACUAUGACAUUUUCAUCAUACUAUACAAUAGCAUCUAUUUUCCUUAUAAAAUAUGUUUUUUUUUCAAACUAAAAUUUUAAAUUUUAAACAUACUAUACUAUGAUAAUUUUAUCAUACUAUACUAUGACUUUUUUAUUAAACUAAAUUAUGAUAUUUUUUCUAAUACUAAAAUUUGAAAUUUUCAACUUACUAUACUAUGACUUUUUUAACAUACUAUAAUUUGACAUUAUAACAUACUAUACUAUGGCAUUUUUAUCAUACAACACCAUGACAUUUUUUCAAAAUAAAUUAUGAUUUUUUUGUUAUACUAAAAUAUGAAUUUUUAAUAUACUAUACUAGGAAAAUGUCAUAUUAAAAUAUGAUAUUUUUCAUUCUUAAGACAUAAAAUCUUUAACAUACUAUACUUUGACUUUUUAUCACACUAUAAGAUGACUUUUUUUCAUACAAAAAAGGAAAUUUUUUUUCAUGCUAAAUUUGAAUUUAUUAUACAUACUAUUUUAUGACAUUUUAUCAUACUAUACUAUGACAUUUAUUUUCCUUCUAAAAUAUGACUUUUUUUAAACACUUAAAUUUAAAAUCUUUAGCAUACUAUACUUUGACAUUUUUUUCACAUAAAAAUUUUAAAUUUUUAACAUACUAUACUAUGACAUCUGUUUUCUUUUUAAAAAUGCCUUUUUUUUUUCAAACUAAAAUUAAAAAUUUUAAACACACUAUACUAUGACUUUUUUUUACCCAAAAUUUUGGAAUUUUAUACAAACUAUACUUUGAUAUUUUAUCAUACUGUACUAUGACUUUUUUUUUUUCAAACUAAAUAAUAAUAUUUUUUCUUAUACUAAAAUAUGAAAUUUUUAACAUGCUAUACUGUGACAAUUUUAACAUACAACACUAUGACAUUUUAUUCAGUCUGAAUCAUGUUUCUUUAACACAAAAAAAUAUUUUUAACAUACUAGAGGAUGUCAUUUUUCUUAUACUUAAAUAUAUAUUUUUUUUAAAUACUAUACUAAAAAAUUUUGUCAUAAAUAAAAUAAAUUUUUUAUUCUUAAAAUAAAAGUUUUAUCAUACUAAAAGAUGACUGUUUUAUACUAAAAAAAAUUUUUUUAAAAGCUUAAUUUUGAAUUUCUAUUACAUGUUAAACUCUGACAUUAUUAUCAUACUAUACUAUGACAUUUUUAACAUACUUUACUAUGGCAUUUUCAUCAUUUAUAAAAUAUAAAAAUUUCACAUACUAUACUAUGACACUUGUAUCUUACUAUCCUAUGACAAUUUUUUAUCAUACUAAAAAGACUUUUUUUCAUGCUAAAUUUUGAAUAUUUCACACGUGUUAUGACUGCAGUCAUUUAUGUAGUUCUUUGUGGGUUUUUUUUGUUGAUUGACAGCUCUCUCUCUCUCUGUCUCUUCUCCCCUCCUCUGCAGUGGAAAUCAGCCUUCGUGUGAGAGAUGAGCUGCAGGUGUGCGUGUUCUGCUGUUUGCUCCUGUGAUAUGAUUGCUGCAUGCUGAUUGGCUGGCUGAGGACUACUCAAACCACCUGAUGCCAUCCUCCGACCCCCUUCUGGCCUUACCACUUCCAACCAUCAGUCCAUGUCGUCAGUGUGAAGUAUUUUUGUUUAGCCUUGUGAUUAGGAAGAUAAUUUUACUUUAAGAUUUAGUGGCAGACGUAGGAGGGAGAAGCUAUUUUGUUUUCUAUCUUGUUUUUCUCCUGUUUCUUGGUUUUCUGUUGUCUUUUGUUUUACUUUUAUUUUACUAUAGGUAAGUUUGGUCCUUGAUUUAGCUGUUCUGUUUUUUUGUGUUGGCAUCGCUCCUCUCUGAAGUGAAUAAAAUCUGCCUUUUCUGUGAAUCUAAAAACUCUUCAUUGGCUGGUUCUUGGGAGUGGGAAGAGCGGGG